GGUCCCGUAGCUCAAUCGGAUAGAGCAACUGCCUUCUAAGCAGUAGGUUGCAGGUUCGAGUCCUGCCGGGAUCGCCA
rnacentral:tRNA from 1 species